UGCGUAGGUGGGCUAAUAAGUCAGUGGUGAAAUCUCUCGGCUCAACCGGGAAACUGCCAUUGAUACUGUUAGUCUUGAGUUCGGUUGAGGUAGGCGGAAUGUGUAAUGUAGCGGUGAAAUGCUUAGAUAUUACACAGAACACCAAUUGCGUAGGCAGCUUACUAGACCGACACUGACGCUGAGGCACGAAAGCGUGGGGAGCGAACAGGAUUAGAUACCCUGGUAGUCC
rnacentral:rRNA from 1 species